UUGAGUUCAAGAAGUACGUGAAACCGUCUGGGAGUAAACGGGUGGUUCCCGAAAGUACGAAAGGGGAGAUUCAGGUCUCGCCGCGCGUCGGGCGGCGCUCGCGACCAGAGAUGGUGUUCUCGCGGCCGGGGGGCGACCCCCGGUCCGGGAGGGCGACCCCCGGUCCGGGAGCUCCACUCCGCGGGCGCCGAUAGUUCCCGGCGCCGGAGUGACGCACUUCUCCCCCAGUAGAACGUCGCGACCCGUCGGGCGCCGGCCUAAGGUCCCGGGUGGAGACUGCCUCGCCGCGCACGACCCCGGGGUUCCCGGCCGGGUGCUCGACGGUACGAAGAGAGGAAGGAGUCGACGCUCCGCCUGUCGGCGUCCGGCCCUCCGCAAGCGCCCGCGGGAGUCCGAGACUCCGGGCCCGGCCCGGUCUCGGUCCCUC
rnacentral:rRNA from 1 species